UACCAGACUCCUACGGGAGGCAGCAGUGAGGAAUAUUGGUCAAUGGGCGAGAGCCUGAACCAGCCAAGUCGCGUGAGGGAGGACGGCCCUACGGGUUGUAAACCUCUUUUGCCGGGGGACAAACGGCGGCACGCGUGCCGUCCUGAGGGUGCCCGGAGAAAAAGCAUCGGCUAACUCCGUGCCAGCAGCCGCGGUAAUACGGAGGAUGCGAGCGUUAUCCGGAUUUAUUGGGUUUAAAGGGUGCGUAGGCGGACGCUUAAGUCAGCGGUAAAAUUGCGGGGCUCAACCUCGUCGAGCCGUUGAAACUGGGUGCCUUGAGUGGGCGAGAAGUACGCGGAAUGCGUGGUGUAGCGGUGAAAUGCAUAGAUAUCACGCAGAACUCCGAUUGCGAAGGCAGCAUACCGGCGCCCAACUGACGCUGAAGCACGAAAGCGUGGGUAUCGAACAGGAUUAGAUACCCCUGUAGGC
rnacentral:rRNA from 1 species